UUAUGGGCCAUGAGAUCGUUAUCUUUCUUUUUGUAAUUUUGCAGAGAGGUACUGUUGGAUUCCAGUGAUCAAUGUUCCCGAUAUUACUCGAUGUGCCCCUUCCAGCCACUUUGGUUGGUUAAGUAGGAUCUUCUCUCCUGAGAAGCCAACGUAUUCGUCUCAUAUUUCAAUUCAAUAAAAUAAUAACUCAUGUGGAGAUAGAAUGUUCUACGAAGGUCGUUUCAGUGAGGCUUUGAAAUACAAUGAACGAGCAAUAGGGCUCUCACCUAAGAGUGCGAACUAUCACAACAAACCAGCAGCUGCAUUGCCGAAAUUUGGACGGACUGGUGAAGCUGGGAACCAGUGCGAAGAAGCCAUAAAACUGGAUCCAAAUUAUAUAGAGGCUCGUGACGAUUUUUGCCUUUUUUCUGUUUAAGGUUGCAGUUUAAGUCACUUCGAUGAUGGGAGGAAACUUGUGACAGAAUCAUCAUAUGGUUCAUACAUGAUAUUGACUAAUCAAGUAGAAAAACACUUGAAUAUAAACGCAUUAAUGCAAGAAGACGCGGUGAAUUGAAUAAUGUUUGGACGAAGCAAGUGUACAGCUUCUAAGUCUACUAAGCUAGCUAUGUGUACAGUUGAAGCACAAGUAAAACUCAACCGGCUUGAUACAGCUCAAACAGAACUAGCAGCUGUCACCAAAGUAGAACCGAUACCAGCCUCUUUCUCACGGUCACACAUUUGGGUUGCCGAUAUGAUCUCUAAAGCCUACAGUUUUUUUUUUGUCAAAUCACAAAUAAGUUUCGCUCUAGAAAGGUACAAAGAUGCAGCUGAACUGCAGAAAAACUUUAGAGAUCUCGAGCCAUAUAACAUUGAAAUUAAAAUUUUCAAGAAGAACGUUGAACUAGUUCAAAGUGCUCUGUCAUACAGAAAGGUAAAAACUAUGUAGUGUAGCUUGUUUAUUUUUGGCCCUUUUCCACUUGUUCUAAGCUUCUUCCUGAAACAGUAGCUAGAAAAAUGAGUUGAAGCAGUGAGAGAUUAUGAGAUAUUACAUGAGGCACUACCAUACGAUAAAGUCAUUGCUACUACAUCUUUGUCUCAAGCUCAAGUUGCACUGAAGCAAUCUCACAGAUCAAUUGUAAACAUGGAAUCCGGAGGUGAUAUUAAUUAAGGAAAUUUCUAGUCUUGAAGUCUUGAAAGCUGCAUUAGCUCGACUUGGGAUCCAAGUGACGUUCGUUCACCAAGCUAAUACUUCAAAAUCAUCUUCUGCUUGUGAAACGGAGUGAACUUAACUUGAGAGACUGCGAGUUUGCUUACGGUUGGUAGGAUCAUAGAUUCAUAGGCGAUGUUAGACGUUCUUUUUAUUAAGUUUAUUACUUCUUUUUGUUGGAUGAUAUGAAGUUGUUGUUUCUGUUUCGCAAAACUUUAGCUUUUCAU